GUGGAAUCUAACCGUGGCUGGGACACCUCCAGAAGUCCUGUCGUGGUAUUUUCUAUACACAAUUCUACCUGGAGUUGUGUUGCUCCUCUUUGGCAUCACUGCAGCUGUUUGCCUCCACAGACAACUCAGGACCAGGACAUCAAAUCAGGACCCGGCCCAGAGCCAGCUUCAUCUGCAGUCAGGAGGAGAGGUGGUCAUCCCUCAAGCUCAGGUGGGUCCAGAGAGAAGGACAAAAAACAAGCACAGGAGUCAGUACAGGGAAAGGCUCAACUCAAUCUAUGGUCUCUAGUGAGUUAACGGGAAAUUCAACAGAAACACGACACAGUUAUUUCAACUUCAAACCAGGUGCCACAAGUGACGACAGCUGGUGUGCAGCAUCAACACAAUGAAUCCAGUGCAUUAACUUUGAUGGUAGAUUCUGUAUUGUACUCUGUGUAAUGUAAUGUUUUUAUAUUUGAUGGUUUAAUGCACUCUGAGUUCACUGAGGAAAGUGACUUUCAGAGUUUGUUGUUCAUGGCAAUAAA